rnacentral:rRNA from 1 species
AGUGAACGCUGGCGGUAGGCCUAACACAUGCAAGUCGAACGGCAGCACAGUAAGAGCUUGCUCUUACGGGUGGCGAGUGGCGGACGGGUGAGGAAUACAUCGGAAUCUACUUUUUCGUGGGGGAUAACGUAGGGAAACUUACGCUAAUACCGCAUACGACCUACGGGUGAAAGCAGGGGAUCUUCGGACCUUGCGCGAUUGAAUGAGCCGAUGUCGGAUUAGCUAGUUGGCGGGGUAAAGGCCCACCAAGGCGACGAUCCGUAGCUGGUCUGAGAGGAUGAUCAGCCACACUGGAACUGAGACACGGUCCAGACUACUACGGGAGGCAGCAGUGGGGAAUAUUGGACAAUGGGCGCGAGCCUGAUCCAGCCAUACCGCGUGGGUGAAGAAGGCCUUCGGGUUGUAAAGCCCUUUUGUUGGGAAAGAAAAGCAGCAGGUUAAUACCCCGCUGUUCUGACGGUACCCAAAGAAUAAGCACCGGCUAACUUCGUG